CCCAGACGUAGCACGCUGGCCACAGACCUGGCUGAGAAGUUGGGACCUACUAGGGGACUAGUAGGUCCCAACUUCUCAGCCAGGUCUGUGGCCAGCGUGCUACGUCU